rnacentral:rRNA from 1 species
GACGAACGCUGGCGGCGUGCCUAAUACAUGCAAGUCGAACGAAACUUUCUUACACCGAAUGCUUGCAUUCACCGUAAGAAGUUGAGUGGCGGACGGGUGAGUAACACGUGGGUAACCUGCCUAAAAGAAGGGGAUAAUACUUGGAAACAGGUGCUAAUACCGUAUAUCUCUAAGGAUCGCAUGAUCCUUAGAUGAAAGAUGGUUCUGCUAUCGCUUUUAGAUGGACCCGCGGCGUAUUAACUAGUUGGUGGGGUAAUGGCCUACCAAGGUGAUGAUACGUAGCCGAACUGAUAGGUUGAUCGGCCACAUUGGGACUGCGACACGGCCCAAACUCCUACGGGAGGCAGCAGUAGGGAAUCUUCCACAAUGGACGCAAGUCUGAUGGAGCAACGCCGCGUGUGUGAAGAAGGUCUUCGGAUCGUAAAACUCUGUUGUUAGAGAAGAACACGAGUGAGAGUAACUGUUCAUUCGAUGACGGUAUCUAACCAGCAAGUCACGGCUAACUACGUGCCAGCCGCCGCCGUAAGAC